UGCUCUAAGCCAGCACUUCUCAAACUGCCCGUGUAUCUGAAUCAACCGAGGUACUUUUAAAAGCCCAGAUUUCCGGCCAGGUGUGGUGGGUUACACCUGUAAUCCCAGCACUUUGGGAGGCCGAGGUGGGCGGAUCACCUGAGGUCGGGAGUUCAAGACCAGCCUGACCAACAUGGAGAAACCCCAUCUCUACUAAAAAUACAAAAUUAGCCUCGCGUGGUGGUGCAUGCUUGUAAUCCUAGCUACUCAAGAGGCUGAGGCAGGAGAAUUGCUUGAACCUGGAGGUUGUGGCGGAGGUUGUGGUGAGCUGAGAUGGUGCCAUUGCCCUCCAGCCUGGGCAAGAACUGGGCAAGAAGAGCGAAACUCUGUCUCAAAAUAAAAUAAAAAAAAAGCCCUGAUUUCCAGAGCACCCCCGCCCCGACCCAAAGAACAAGAAUCUCCAGGGCUGGGGCCCCAGAAUCUGGAUUUCUAGCAGAAGGCACAGAUGAUUAUUAGGUCAGACAAGUACGGGACUCCUCUCUAAAAGAACUCAAUGUUGCCUGAGUUCUCUUCUGCAUCCCAUUAUUUCAUUCUGCUACUGACAAUGGGGCCCGUUAUAUUCAUUCAUUCAUUUAUCCAACAAAUAUGCAUUAAAUGCUCAUUAUAUGCCAGGCACAUGCUCCAAGCUGGGGACAGGGCAAGGAAUGAACCAGAAGCCCUCCCUGCCCUCGAGGAACUUAGGGUUCAGCAGAGAAGACACAGACUUCAACCAGCAAUGAUCAUUGACUAUCAGGAGAGCGCCUUUUGGGGGGAAAAUGCCCAUUGGGCAUGGAGAGCUUGCUCCACAUCCACAGAAUUUCUUUCUUUUUUGUAAUUACUCAAAAAGGCUUCAUUUUGUUUUUCUUUAGCUUUCUGAACUAAACACGCUGUGCUUGUUGUGCCUUCAACACUUUCCCAACAAUUUCCUGCUCCACCAUAAGGAAAGCACAUCGACUCCUUUCCCAGACACAUUCAGCACGUGCGGGACCACCAUGGGCCUUGCUGAUGUGUGUUUUCAUUUUAGACAACCUCAUAAGAACUGCGGAUUCUGCCUGGGCACACACCACAUGCAGAUUUCAGUGCCUUCCAGACCAUCUUGGCAUAAAAGUAAACAAUUCUAUUGCCAGGGACUCAGGACACCGAAUUUUGUUAGAGGCUGUAUCAUAGGAAAGCCUACAACGGUGUGUUACACGCUGGGCCAUGCUGACUGCCUAAACUCCAGACAUCUUUUAAAAACCUGACAGCUUUUCUAAGCCUGAACCUGUGCUAAAUCACUUAGUCCUGGAAACAACCCUAUGUGGUUGGGACCAUUAUUAUGCUCAUUUCCCAGAGGAGGGACUAAAAGAGAGGGCAGAGUCUGGAUUUGAACCCUUGGACCAGGCAUUUGCACAGGGGAGGCCCUCCCCACAGAGAGGGCGGCAGGAGGGCAAGGCCACCUCUGUCAUUGGGGCCAUGGUCUGGGGAGCUCCCUGAAGGCAGAUCUGAGGGAGGAGAAGGAGUUAGGUGGAAGAAAAAAGGGAGAUUGUUCCAGGAACCAGAGGAGCACAGCUCAUUGAUGAUGGAGAUAUGGCAGAGGAGUUUAGGGCACUAGGAGACCCCAGGGGUCAGCAACUUCAUCCAGGGCAUCAAGCAAGCCAGUGUGGAGCAUGACCUGACCUGCAGCCCAUGAAUCGGGCAGGGCGUCUGUGCAUUUGCGGGUAUGACCCACCCUGAGAAAGGAGGCUGGUAGCCACGAGGCUGAGCCCCUGGACUGGGAGUCAGGGUUGCUGAGUCCAAACCUUUUGUGGUCACUCACUCACCCUGACCCUGGGCAAGUUACUUAACCUCGCUAAGAAUUCAGGUCUUAGGGUUAUUGUGGGAAUAGCUAAGAUCAUGUGUGCAAAUUGCUGAACACUUAAUAAAUUCAUAUUGGUGUCUGUGUGGUU
rnacentral:lncRNA from 10 species